ACCACCGUCGGACCGCUGGAUUAAAGUGGUCAUCGAUGCCACUGUCCUCAUCAGUCGCCUUUUCUCCCAUCACCCAUCUCCCUUUUUCUGAAAAAUGGAGCUCGACAACUCAUAAAAGGUCGAUUGAGACCUCUGAGAACGGGGAAGAGCGAAGAUCCAUCAGCCCAUCUCUCAAUCCGAUGGAUACAAACCAGAGCCAGCAAUAUUGUUACCCCAAACGGCUCUUUCUCCUUCAAAUCACCUCUGAAAAGUUCUUGGCUGAGCAAGGACCACUUCGAGCGGAUUCGAAGACUCGACGACGAUAAUAGCCUCAGUUCGCUGUCCCGAAA